AUGUCCUAGCAAAAAUAGCAACUAAUAAUUUUGUUAAAUUUUAAUCUGAUGCUUAAAUUGUUAUUUGAAUGUAGGUAUUGUUGUUCUAUUAAUAGAAUAGAGGUCCGCCUUCCCCUUCCACAUGAAUUCAACGGUGAGUUCCUAAUUUCAGUCAGUUUGUAAUACAUUCUACUAAUAGAGUGUUUCAAUCAUUUAGUAAAUAGUCUAUCAAUUCGAUUCUGCCCUAGUCUAUAAUAUCACAAUGCAAUGCCUUAUUAAAGAAAAAAAAUCAAACAACUAUAAACCAUCUACCUUUCUAUUUCAAAAAACUCCCUAAAAUUUAACCAGUACAAAACAAUUAAGGAAAAUCUACAACCAAUGCUUUGUUUUUGAUUGAUGCUCAAAAUUUCCGCUCCUGCGUCAUGACAAAAAGUAACAUCUUUUUGUCUUUACACAAUGCAAUGCAAUCAAUUCUUAUAAAUAAAAAUCCUUUUCCCACUUGUCAACUUCUUAGGUGUUUUGACAAAUGUCAUUUUCUCAUAUUUUUCAAAAUUUUCCUUCUACCUUCUAAAAUUGACAUGUGUAUUUUUUUUUUAAAAACAAAUAUGAUUCUCUGUGGCGCGUAAUAUGGGCUUUAUUUGAGGUCCCACAUAUCAGCAACCAAUUGAAUCUAUAACGUGUUUUCUCAAAUCAAUUGCCUUAUUUUCCUCAGACCAUUGUUGCAUUCCAAAUUCACAUCCCAUACAACAUACUUUCUGUAUCCAUUUUACUCUCACAACAUUUUUUCUUCAAUUUAGUAAACAGGAGAAUUGCUUUCAUAUUAACUCUCCCGUAAAUCAUCUCCUCAAUUUGAAUUUGAAUUUUUAAUGAAGUAAAUUGAUAGAGUUCCCAUAUAUAGGCUCUAUUUUCGAGUCGUUAAUCUCUGUUGAUACGUGAGAUCCCAAUUUUUGUGGAACAAAAUGAAUUCCAUAUUGAAAUCACUCUAUAAAUUCGAUUACUGUUCUGGCUAUUAUUCACACCUUGGUUUUCUUCUUCAAUUCAUUUGUCAUCCAGGUUUCUUCUUUAAUCUGAUGUUCUUAAUUUUUAUUAAUUGUAUUCGAUUUUUUAUUAUCAUGAAUGUGUGGUGUAUCUGAUUGCCUUCUUAACCUUGCAUUUGAUGUUGCACUCUAUGUGUUUGAUAAAAUGCCCAUGAGAUAUGUCUUAUCAAAUACUAUUACACACUAUUGUCUGUAUUUUUGUGCUACUUACCACAUGUGUGUGUGUGUGUGUGUUUGUGAUUCCUAACUUUCCUGCAUUUUGUUUGGGUUAAAUCAUAAACUUGGUUAGCUUACUCAUCCGGGAAGAAAAGGAAGAUCAACUAUUUCAUAAAAAAAAGUAGUUGAUAUCUUGGAUAUUGUAUCUAUAUCAGCAUGUCUAUUUUUGAGCAAACCAUGGGUUUUCACUCUCAUUUAGUUUCUUUAUGCUAUAGUUAUAUGGUAAGAAAAGUGAUUAUGCUAAUAUUAACAUGUUGGUUGUUUGUGUGAUAGCUUGAACUUAUCUUUGGUAGGUAUUAUAUGUCAACUGAACCAAAUGUAGUGAAGGAUUGGGCUGUAUUUUAAGUCUUAAAGGAAUUUUCAGCCCUUUUUCUUUUUUGAACAGUUGUAAGAUAAAGGGUUAUUUGUUACUUCUAAAUAGAAAGGUACUUUCAACAAUAAUCUUUAGUCCAAAUAUCAAAUUGAAGAAAUGACUUUUUAUGUGAUUUUAGGUCAAAAAGUUCAUUUACUCUUUGCUACUUAGAGAUAGAUCAUUUGCGCUUAUUGGAUUAAAAUUUUGAUUUUUGACUUUAGAAAUACCAAGUUUCUGGACAUAACAGCUUAUGUGCAUGGCUAUAAGUAAUAUGGAGACACAAUAGGGUGGGGAAAAGUACACAAGGCCCAAAACUAUAGCAACAUAGUUUUCUUUUUUUACCUGAUCGUUAUAUAGUUUUCUUGAUGAACGUUUUUACAAGCACAUUGUCAAAAAUAAAGAGAAAUUUAUUUCCAAAUGUAAUGAGUUUAGUUCAAACCCUAUUUUAUUUCAAAAAGAGAAGAGAUAGUUGGUUGUUUUUUUAUUGCUUCUGUUUUCUUUUGGUUGAAAGUAUCAAGAAUUCAUUUUUAUAGUGUAUUUGUUAUAAGAAUGUGUUUGCUUUCAUAAUUUUUUCUUUAACAUGUUUUUCAGAUAGACACUCAAGGGAAAAAUGUAAUGAGUGCUUCAUCUUCUUGGGUGCCUAAGAAUGAGCUUCUACAGAUUUAAAUAUUCAUUGAUAGUAAUAUGGGAGAAUAAGACCAAAAGACCAAACCCGAUGUUUCUAUUAAGUAAGGUUAAUAUUUACCAUCUCAAGUUUUUCCCAUUUUUAUAAUAUGAGAACAGAUUGAUAAAUUACAUAAAUUUUUCAUAAUUUUGGUAUUUUCUCUAACCAUUUCAUAGGAGAUAAGUUAUUUAUUCAUACUUUUAUGAUUUUAGGGUUUUCUUUCACGAUUUAAAAAGAAACAAUUUGAAAUAAAAGUUUGAUAGAUGAUAUGUGUGUAAACUGUGGUUGUUUUGUGUAUGAAUUUGCAUUCCUGGAUUAGUUUUCUUAAAUUUCUUAUAUUAAUUUCUAAGAAAUAGAAUUUUAUAACGUUAGCAUGUUCAUCCUUCUUUUUUGUGACCUUUUUGGUCAUUUUCUCAUUCUUAUAUAUAUAUAUGAUUCAUAAUUUUGGCAUUCUUAAGCUAAAAAAUACUAAUAUGAAACUUUUAAAAUUAAAAGUUUGAUUUUUUUGAGUUUUUUAGUCAAGAUGACCAUUUUGACCUUUUUGUCCAAUUUGGUCAUUUUUACCGGUUUUAUUUUUUUAAAAUUUUUUUUCGUAAUAUGGUCAUUUUUGCUGAAAAUAGUCAUUUUGAUCAUUUUGCUUAAUCUGAUCAUUUUGACCAUUUCGGUCAAUUUGAUCAUUUUUUAUACAGGGACCAUUAAUGUCUAUUUUGUUAAACAUGGGCUAUUUAUACAAUAUUUUUAUAUACGGACCAUUUUUUUUAAAUUUAUUUAAAUAGGGAUUAUUCCUGUAGUUAAAUAUAUUUAAAACAGGUAAUAAUUACUUUCAUUUUUUAAGUUUAGCAAUGUACUUUUUAUAAUAAAAAGUAUGAUGUUAUAUUAGAGAUAAAACUGAAAUAUGUUGCUAUAUAUUGCAUUUAGCACAUGACCGAUUUGUCGUUUCUAUGAGAUACUAUGCCAAUAACACAAGUUUUUUUUUUUUUUUUUUUUUGGUUAGGUUCCUAAAGAACAUGUACAGAGGAGGAAAAUGACUCAAAUCGAUGUUUGCUUUGGUUAUACACCAAGUCAAGCUACCAUUUUAUAUAAUCUAAAUUAAAUUGAUUUAGACUUUAUUUUUUUUAGAGUAAGUUUAUUAAAAUUUCUUAAAAAAGACAACUCGUAAAUUACAUUCUAUAUGAAUUUUUAAACUUUUGUAGUAAUGGAACUAAAUGAUGCUUCUAUAUAGAUACAAUCCAAAUUAAAGUACUAUGUUAUUUCUUGCAUCUUACUCAACAAUGGGUUAUAAUUAAUUCCACGUUUUUUUCAAUUCUAACUCUUAUUAAAAGUUUAUAGCAUUAUAGUUAAUUUUUCUUAUUGACACAUUAUACUUUAGAAAAUUCACAUAGUUUAGCAUCUUACUUACAUUUAUUUUUAUUACAACAUUAUGGUUUUCUAUUUUUAUUAUGAUCUUCCAUGUGGUUCAAGAUGCUCUUUUGUUGAGGUAGUAUAUAUGAAUAUUACGCAAGGAAAGGAAAAAAUAUUGAUUUUUGUUGUUCCUUUAGCCAAAUUGUUGUUACUGAUGGAACUUUACGCGGCAAGGCUAUUCCCAGAGUUUUCAUUGUGACUACUAAAUAUGUCUGAUAUUUUUUAUAAUAUGAAUUCAAUUACUUAUUUAAUAUUCAUCAUUUCGUUUGUAUUUAUAUAAAAAUAUUUAAUGUUUACAUCUUGAUAUUCAACUGUUUUUAAUCAACCCGUUGGGUCUCACACCUAGUGCAGAAAAAAAAAUCAAAGAACUAUAAACCAUCUACCUUUCUAUUUCAAAAAACUCCUAAAAUUUAACUAGUACAAAACAAUUAAGCAAAAUCUACAAGUAACUAAUGCGUUGUUUUUUAUUGAUGCUCAAAAUUUCCACUCCUGGCUCAAAAAUAACAAAAAGUAACAUCUUUUUGUCUGUUUUUUUUUUUUUCAUAAUAAUAUUAUAUAUUUUAUAGGGACUUACUAUUGUUUUGCGGAGAUGGAAGGAGUGUUUGAGAGUAAACAAACUACACAUUCAUGGGAUUUCAUUGGUCUUGGAGAAGAAAAAACCAAACCUGCGGAAUUUUCCACAAAGGAGCAAGUUAAGUUGAUUGAUGUCAUUUCUGAUUUUGUAACUAACUAACUAACUCUGUUUUUGGUUUUUGAAAUGAUCAACAUCUUUUAUUUUUUUUGUAAUUAGGAUUUUAUGAUGGGAAAGUUUUAGCAAUUCCGACAUGCCACCCCACCGGAAUGGAAAGGAAUAUGGAAACAUUCAACGCCACAAAUUGCAACAGCUUUUCUUCAAUCAGUUCCAUAUGGGUUUUCUUUAGCUUUUAAGUGGAUAAUCCAAUCCCUAAAUGAAUGUUUUUGUUAAAAUUCAUUUGAUUUAUUUUUAAUAUAAUUAAAAAUGAUGCAGAAAGUGGAACAUUUGAGAGCAAAGAAAAAGUUAUUGCUAUGGUAAUUAAUUAUUAAAGUGGAUAAUCCAAUCCCUAAAAAUUGAACUUUCUUCAUGUGCUUCCCUCGAGGUUAAAAUCCCCCACUUCAACAUCUAGUGUGUGUGUGUGUGUGUGUGUUUAAAACUUGAUAGUAAUCCACUUAGACAGGUAAAUUAGACUUUUUAAAGGGAUAAUAUUGGUCAUUUUUCGUAUGUUAUCUCAUUCUCCUUCAUUUUGUAGAUUCCAUCAGAUGGGUUUGAAGCUCUACUAAAUGGUGUCUGUCUGUGUCUGUGCCUCUGUGGUUACACCACACCACACCACACCAAUAUUGCAUUGCAGGUUUGGAAAGAACACUAUUCCUCUUCAUUUUACUACUUUUCCAUCCAAAUCCAAAUCUUGACCUUACCGAUGAAGUAGAUUAAAAACAAAACUGCAAAAAAUGGUCCAUGUCCUAGCAAUAAAUAACAACUGGGUGUGGUAUGUUUAAUAAUUUUUAAAAUUCUUAUCUGACUCGAAACAUUUGAUUACAUUGUUUCAUAGAGUUAUCAAAUGAAUCGAUCUUUCAAAAAAUCAUCUCAAGUUUUGACAAAACUACCUUCCAGAAUCUAAUCUAGAUAAGUGUCCAUGUCCUAUCAACUAAGUUGGGUAUGGUAUGUUUAAUCAUUUUUAAGAUUUUAAUCUGACUCCAAACAUUUGAUUUGAUUUAAUUGUUAAUUGAAUGUAGGUAUUGUUCCACUAAUACAGCCCUUCCACUUGAAUUAUCGGUGAGUUCCUAAUUUCAAUCAGUUUUUAAUGUUUGUGGAUCAAAUGAUCAAUUGAGUUGAGGGGUACUCUUGACCUGUUUUUUUUUUUUUUUAAAUAUAUAUAUGCAAGAACUGAAUUGUUAUGAUAAUAGAAUAUGUUUGUCAAUUAAUUUAAAAGAAAUAAUAGAAAAAGACAAUAUUGACUCAUGUGGUUGAUUUUAGAUUUCUACUUUUAAUAAGUGUAUGAUAUGAACCUCACAUGGCAUGUAUGUAUUCUUCAUUCUUUUUCAGUAAAUAAGAAAGAAGGCUCCUGUUAUGAACUGGAUUCUAAGAACAGAUUCAAUAACAUAAAAAGCAACCAACAGCUUCAAAUAUUGAUUGAUUACAAGAACAAAUGAUAGGUUAGCUGAUUUGAGAUACCUACUCUCCCAAGGAAUAAAUUCCGGAUUUCACAAAAAGAUUGAUCCCUCACUGACCUCUUAUACUUACUAUCUGACCUAACAAACUAAAUAAUAUAAAAUACCUAAGUUGCCCCUGAACUAAUAAGAUUCUCUUUAUUUUAUUGAAUUUCCCAUAUUGCCCUUAUCUAG
rnacentral:lncRNA from 1 species